AUCGUCUCAAAGGAAGGAAUCCCAUAGCAGAAUGACUUCUCCAUUUGUCUUACGAAUUUUAUCCCUUCCCAAGUAUACGGGUUGAUGAUAACCAUCUUCUAUGGUGUUUUUCUGUCUGCCCUGCAUUCCUUCCUUCUCUAAUUCUCCUUCCCUUUCCACGUGCUUUAGGCUGUUAAUAAUGGGACUGUGGCUUUCCCUAGCACAAAGUGGACCCAUGACCCAAAUAAGGCCAUUUGGAGCCUGUUUCAAGGAUGGAUAAGGGGGCUGGAGGACAGUUGCAUUCUUUUCUCUGAGACUGCCAGCCAUUAGAUGAGCAUAAGCCCGACCACGUUACACAGAGUGAGCCUGCCAAAGAACAAGGCUGAAGAGUGGCAAAGAUGCCAAGAAAUAGGGUUCGAGUAGUUAGGGACUGAAUGUUUGUGUCCCUGCCACUCCUCCCCUCAGAUUCGUAUGGUAAAGCCCUAACCCCUAUGUGAUGGUAUUUGGAGAUGGGACCGGGGCGGGGGUUGGUAAUUAAGUUUAGAUGAGUUCAUGAGGGUAAGGUCUUUGUGAUGGGAUUAAUGCCUUGUAAGAAGAGACCAGAGCGCCUGCCCUCUAUCCCUGCUAUGUGAGGGUACAACAAGAAGACCAUCUGCAAGCCAGAAAGAGAGCUCUCACCAGAACGUGACCAUGCUGGAAUCCGGAUCUCAGACUCCUCAGCCUCCAGAACAGUGAGAAAUAAGGGUCUGUUGUUUAAGCCAUCCAGAUUAUGAUAUUUUGUUACAGCAGCCUGAGCUAAGAUAAGUACUAGCAAUAUUGUUUUUAAAUUUUUGGAUGUUUCAGUUAUGUGAGCCAAAAACUUUUCUUUUUGCUGAAUAUUGUUUGAAUUUGGUUGCUGUUGUUUGCCAUUAAGAAUUCUGAUUAGUCUUCUUUCUCUAUCCUUUAGCUUAUUCCUCGAUCCAGGAACUUUGGUCUUUUUCCUCAAAACUAACUCCUUCCCUCAACCAAUACACAUGCUCCAGAUUCCACCUGUCUAGAAAAACCUGCUUCCCUUCGUGUCAACAAGUCAGUGUUGGUUGUUUGGGUGUAUGGAAGCACCUCAUCAAGAAGUUUAAAACUCCUGUUUUGGGGAUCCCUCGGUGGCUCAGCGGUUUAGUGCCUGCCUUCAGUCCAGGGCGUGAUCCUGGAGUCGCAGAAUCGAGUCCCACGUCGGGUUCCUUGCAGGGAGCCUGCUUCUCCCUCUGCCUGUAUCUCCACCUCUCUCUCUGAGUGUCUAUCAUGAAUAAAUAAAUAAAUCUUUAAAAUAAAAUAAAACUC
rnacentral:lncRNA from 12 species